GAUGAACGCUGGCGGCGUGCUUAACACAUGCAAGUCGAACGAAGCAUUUAAGACAGAUUACUUCGGUUUGAAGUCUUUUAUGACUGAGUGGCGGAAGGGUGAGUAACUCGUGGGUAACCUGCCCCCUACAGGGGGAUAGCAGCUGGAAACGGCUGGUAAUACCGCAUAAGCGCACAGUAACACAUGGUACUGUGCGUAAAACUCCGUUGGUCGGAGAUGGUCCCGAGUCUGGUUAGCGUGUUGCAGGGGUAAGGGCCCACGAAGGCGAGGAGCAGUAGCCGGCCUGAGAGGGGGCCCGGCGACAGUGGGACUGGGACACGGCCCAGACGCCUACGAGAGGCAGCAAUGGGUAAUAUUGCACAAUGGAGGAGACUCUGAUGCAGCGACGCCGCGUGAGUGAAGAAGUGGUUCUAUAUGUAAAGCUCUAGGAGAAGAGAAGAUAGUGACGGUACCUGAAGAAGAAGCGCCGGCUAAAUACGUG
rnacentral:rRNA from 1 species